AACGAACGCUGGCGGCAUGCCUAACACAUGCAAGUCGAACGAGACCUUCGGGUCUAGUUGCGCACGGGUGCGUCACGCGUGGGAACCUGCCCUUAGGUUCGGAAUACCUCCCCGAAAGGGGUGCUAAUACCGGAUAAUUUCUUCGGACCAAAGAUUGAUCGCCUUUGGAUGGGCCCGCGUUGGAUUAGCUUGUGGGUAGUGUAAGAGCCUACCAAGGCGACGAUCCAUAGCUGGGCUGAGAGGAUGAUCAGCCACACUGGGACUGAGACACGGCCGAGAAUACUACGGGAGGCAGGAGUGGGGAAUAUUGGAAAAUGGGCGAAAGCCUGAUCCAGCAAGGCCGCGUGAGUGAUGAAGUCCGGAGGGUAGUAAAGCUCUUUUACCCGGGAUGAUAAUGACAGUACCGGGAGAAUAAGCUCCGGCUAACUCCGUG
rnacentral:rRNA from 1 species